rnacentral:tRNA from 2 species
UGUCGGAGUAGAGCAGCCCGGUGGCUCGCCAGCUCAGAAAGCUGGACGUCGCAGGUUCGAAUUUUGCCGCCGCAACCG